UUUCUCAGUCUUUGCAUACUUCUCUUUAGUGGACGUUUAUAUUGAGUUCCGAGUUUUCAAAUUAAGAGAAAUGAAGUAGAACUAAAUUCAAAGUUAAGUUACGAACUAUUUUUUGUGCUUUUACUGUACACUAUGAGAGUAUUUAAUGUUUUAUUAAAACUGUUACUCUGUAUUAUUAAAAGUUUUGUGUAACGUUCACAUAAUUAAGUUUUGUCAUAACUCUUAUAACUCCGUUCUCGUUUGCAAGCAAUGUUACGACUAACUUUGAGUUUAUACAGCAUAUUUCUAUCGGUACAUGUGGACAAAUAUAAAGAAAAAAUAGGUAUUACCUACGUUAGAAACUUUUGUUUGAUAAAAUCAACGGAUAUCAACAUCCAGCGAAACACAAGCUUAAAGCAACGUUUUCCCAUUGAUCUCUGUCGGCGAACGCAAUCGCAGCCUAUUUUCUGGCCUGGAGCCAGCUCGUAAUGCCCAGGAUAUGUUGGCAACAUACCAAUAACAGGAUUAUCGCGCUCUAAUAGCGACUGUACGCGUACAGUCCGCAAGAAAGAACUAUCCAAGUUCACAAACUAAUUAUAAUGUUAGUGUACCUACAUUGAGCGUGUCUUCUUUUUAUCGACAUUGCUUCUGUACUUUUGCAAGUUUUAAACGAACAUAGUUUUUGUUUUUUUACAGCUUAAUUUUCAUUUACUUAGUUUUAAUAAUUGUUUUUUUUGCAGUUUUUUUUAAUAGGUACAUACAUUUUUGGCCAUCGCUUCGAUUAUAAAAUAGCUAUAAAAUUCUUAGUAAACAAUUAUGACAGUUCAAAUGUUUAUUAAACGAUAAAAAUCAUAAAACACUAACGAUAUUACAUAACACAAUUUAUAUGCGAUGUAUAUAAUAAAAGUAUUUAGAUGACAGUUUUAAAGGAAAAAAGUAUUUU
rnacentral:misc_RNA from 1 species